ACAUUUCUUUUAGUUUUUAUUUAAAGUAAGGUCUGCCCACUGUUAAAUUAAUAAAGGGCCGCGGUAUUUUGACCGUGCAAAGGUAGCAUAAUCAUUAGUCUCUUGAUUGGGGAAUGGAAUGAAUGGCUUAAUGAUUUCUUUCUUUUAUAUAUGUUAUGUUAUAAUUUUGAUUUUAAGUGAAAAUACUUAAGUAUUUUAGUUAGACGAUAAGACCCUAUAGAAUUUUAUUUAUGGAAUAUAUUUUUAUUUUUUAUAAAUUUAAAUGGGGCAUUUUUUGAAUAAAAUUAAUUUCUGUAAAUUUUUGUAAAAUAUCUUUAUUAAUAAAUAAUAAAAAAAUUACCUUAGGGAUAACAGCGUAAUAAUUUUUGAGAGUUCAUAUCGACAAAAUAGUUUGCGACCUCGAUGUUGAAUUAAAAUGCCUUUUUAAAGCAGCUUUUAUUUAAGGUAGUCUGUUCGACUAUAAAAUUUUUACAUGAUUUGAGU
rnacentral:rRNA from 1 species